CCAUUCUGUGGCAAUUUCGUGGGGGGAGAUGCUAUUUCUUUUCCACCCAAGAGAAGGCCUGGAACCAGAGCCGGGAUUCUUGCACCCAAGAGGACGCCUCUCUGGCUGUUGGUACAAGCAGAGCAAAACUGGAUUUCCUCAACUCAAGCGUGAAAUUAGAAUCAUACUUUGUCGGCCUCCGUUACCACCACUCUGAUAACAAGUGGAGAUGGGUGGAUGGCACGGAGCUCAGUGCUGACAUAGCUAUAACCCGGAGGCCGGAUUUCGACUGCGCCACAGUAGGAUUUGGCAGAAACCUGAGCCCCACACUGUGUGACAAUGCCCACCGCUGGAUCUGCGAGAAGCCCGCCCUGUCAAGUGGGAAGCCCAAGCGGGCGUGAACCACAGAGCGGAGCAUCUUCUAGGGAUCGAAAGUGGGCGAAAGCACGGGAGUGAUGCGUCGGCUGGGGAUCUGGAGUGGGCAGAAACCAGAGAGCAAUGCUUCACUGAGGGAUCUGGGAGGGAGGGGGAAAGCAAUGAGCCAUCU